rnacentral:lncRNA from 1 species
GUAAGCAGUAAAUCCUGAUAUAUGUUAAUAUAAGACAUAAUAAUUGUAUUUCAGUUGACAUUCAAAGAAAAUCUGUUAUUGAUGGUCUUCAAAAGAAGAUUGUGAGACAGUCUAUUAAAGUAUGUUUUUUACCUGGUCACACCCAUUAUUUAUCAGAGAUAUUUCUUGUGUUCAACCACAAAAAAAAAAAGCAUUCUGUAGAAUGAUGUUUUAAUAAGUGUUGAAAUUUUUUCAUGAACUUUGUAUUUCUAUUGAUAAAUGGAAAUCCUUUUGUUUUUUAAGGGCCUCAUGGACCAAAAUUCUGUUGUAUUUUGAAAAUUAGCAUAUAAUUAGCCACAAAAUAUUUUAAAGACUGCAUUUAUCAGUUACAUUUUUCUGCUGGUUUUAGACUUCUAAAAAAAUGACAGCUCUGCCCUUCUUUAAAAAUGGUUUUAAAGAAGAUAAAUAUAUUGUAAUUUCACAUACUAUAGCUUUAUUCUUGUAGAUAUUUUUAGACACCUGAGGACUGUCCUUGGUGAAUGACAUUAACACGAUCACAUGUGAUUCUAAAUUCAAGCUGUUCGCAUGUUCGUUCACAGUGCUUUGUAAAUUGUGUUAACGUGAUAAUAACAUCAUUUCCAUAAGAACAUUAAAUAGUUUUGAACAUUACCAUCCACUUAAGUGGUUAUACUUCCUUUUAAAAUUGGAAUACAACUCUAGCUUUUAACAAUGUUUACUGUUCUAAAUGGUUAUUUAAUGUUUUUUCUUUAGUGUCGUCUGUUAAGCUGCUUUCUGCUUCUGUUACAAUAAUAGUGUUAUGUUUUAGGAGGGGCUUUUUCCCUAAGGUCCUUAAGUCUUUCAGAUUUAAAAACAAUUUAAGGUUUUGACCAUUUGGCAGUUAAAAAAAAAUCUAUGCAUGUUUUAAUUUAGUUUUUAUAAAUUUGUAAAGUGUCACUUUUUAAACCAUGUACCAAAUUUGCCAAUUUUCUGUCCAGAUGUUUCAGAUGAAUAACAAAUUGUUGUCCAUUGUGGCUUUUUGACCCCUUUCUUAAAGCAGCUUAUGUCUCAAGGGAAAAGACAUUGACGAGCAAUGGUUUGUUUUAUAAAGAAUAUGUUUCAGAUUUCUUUGGGGUUUGUUGAAAUUAUAAACUUCCUAGCUAAUACAAAAUACCCACA